CAGGCACCAGGCACUGCCAGCGCCCAACAUUUGCUCCUAGAAUUGACUAUCAGCACAUCUUUCAUUCUGCUGCUUCUAUGCCAGUUACGCCCGCUAUACAACAGUCUGAGGUGCCUACCAUCAUCAACAACGUAUGUACUGCAGAUUCUUCUGUAUUUGCAGAACAUAAUUAUAGUGUGAUGAGUCGUUCGAAAAGAAAGACAUUAGAUGAAGGUUCGAACAAACGUGAGGUGCAGCUUAAGGCAAAACAACUUCAAAUGGAAGAUAACCGUUUGCCCAAAAGGGGACUUUCAUACAAGCACUGCCGCGUUCCAGACAGUAUGACAUUGUGCAGCACAUGACGAAACCAGCUCAGCUUUUAGUGAAAAUGCAAUAACAAUCAACGAAGCACCCUAAAGGACGACGCUAUUCACUAAAAGAAAAAAAAUAUGGCAUUCUCGCUUUACAAAUAGAGUCCGAAGUGCUAAUACAGGCUGUUGUGUGAAUAUUUUUCACUUCCACCUGGCAAAACGAUGAAAAGAUUAUUAGGCGAAAUUAAACUUACCACAGUGGCAUAAACACAAUUAUAUUCGAAGGAAUUAAACACAAAAUAACCAAUCAGAUGGCAGUCGCUUUCGUAAAAACUAGUGCCUACGCCGAUUCUUAGGAUUACUUGUCAAGCGGAUCCCAGGCUCCCAUGAGUCGUGGCAAAAUGCCGGGAUAACGCACGGAAGAUGAUGAGGAAGGACCUUUCACUUCUCCAAACUUCAUGCAUUAACCGUAAAGACUAUGCGUCUUUGUAAUAUGGUACAAUUUUGACUUAUUGGACACGUAUUAGUUGUGUAUUCCGUAGCAUUCGUUUAUAAGACUGUUAGCUUAGUCUCCUGACGCAAAACAAUUACUUACAUAUUUCAUAUUCGCUAGGCUAGGUGCACGACGGGUGCUGCUGUCCUUAUUUUGUGGGCUUCUCUACGGGAGUGAAAUUAUCAAACUGAUGCUGCUAGAAUUCAUGUGGGACAUUCCAUAAUAUUAUGUGUGUUCUCCCUCCACCGACUGCACUUUGCUAAUAAUUUCAUUUUAACAUGUGCCUAAGCCUUUCUCACUUCAAGCACCGCACGGAAGACCAGCGCUGGCUUUAUAUCUAGCAUUACGCUGAGUUGGGUCCAUUUCGUGAUGCACACUUAACAUAUCAGAACCAAAACGUGUUGUUACUAAAAUUAUAGGCAAAAAGUUGUAUCUACUGAUAUACAUACAUACAUACAUAUAAUCACGCCUAUUUCCUGGAGGAGUAGGCAGAGACCACGGAUUUCCACUUGCUACGAUCCUGACAUACCUCUUUCGCUUCCUUCAAUUUCAUAACAUUCCUCAUACACCUCACAAUGUGUUUACAUUUUGUUAGAUAGAUAAUUCACUAUUUAUUACCGUUAUGUUAAAAUGUCAUUUUGGUCGGAUGUUCAUAUCCAAAGUUAUAUGGAAUUCGUGUCUUUUAUUUUCAUCAAAAUAAAUAUUGUUUUUUUGACAUUAGGGACCUUUAAUAUCUCCAAAUUGAAUAUAUUAUUGACGAAUCGAAUUUAAUUUCCUUGCUUCAUUUUUAUAUUGUACAGACUGUAUUGUAACGUUUAGUAUAAAUACAAGUUGGCAGAUAUUUAUUUUGAUAAAAAAAACUAAUAUGUUUAAUAUAAAUUUAUGUCCAUCUGUACAUUUUUAAUGUCUGCUUUGGCUUAGGUUAUUUGAUUUUCUUAUAAAUUGUUUCAUACUAAAAUGCAUGGACUUUCAGGAAAAAAGAGAAAAUCUGUUAUAGACAAAUGGUGUACUUGUAAUAAAUUAUUUACCUACUGAAAGCUUGCUAAGCUUGAAAAUGUACAUAAAAAUAUCUUUAUUUAAUCGUUUUUAUUUAUUUAUUAAAUAAUAUCAUUAUCUCUAAGAGCCACGACGCUAAUUGCCAGAUCUCUUCUAAUUGCCAUGGUGUGAUAGUAAGCUCCCAACGCUAAUUGGUAGGC